AGCUCACCCCUGCAGCGGGGCCACUGUCUCACUCUGCGGUGAGUACCUGCCUGCAUCUCUUAUAGGAGAGCGAGUGUCACCUGGUGAAGCCCAUGUGGUAUCUGUUUGCAGUUCAGGCACCUGAUGUUGAGAAGUCUGAGAGUGCUGGGUGGUGUGGCACGUCCUUUAAUCCCAGAGGCAGAGACAGAUCUCUGUGAGUUCAGGGCCAGCUUGGUCUACACAGCUAAUUGCAGGACAGCCUGGGCUACACCAAGAGACCCUGUCUUGAUAAACCAAGGGGCAAGGGGGGCUGAAGGCCGUAGCCAAGUACCAAUAACCAGAAGGACCCAUCCAGGUGCCAGUGGCUGUCAGGAUGUCCCGCCUCACUGGUCGGUUCAGUUUUAUUCACAUGUAAGAAUGUUUUACCUGCUCCUAUAUGUGGGUGCCAUGUGCUUUCCUGGUGCCCAGACUUCAGGAUAGUGGAUUGCCUGUAACUGGAUGGUUGUAAGCCACCAUGCAGGUGGUGCGAACAGAAACUGGGUCUUCUGUAAGAUCUUCAGGUGCUCAUAACAGUCUAACCCCCUCACUAAUUUUUCGACAGCACUAGCAAAUAUACUUAUGUAAUAGAAUAUAUGAAUAUGGUCAUGCCUCCUUCCCUUGACUUUUCCUUCUCAAGACUCCCAGUGACAGGUUCCUCCUCCACGGCCUGUCACCACACCUUGCCUUGCUGUCCACUCCUGCCUGGGCUCCCCUCUGUUCUUUGCAUCUGAUGCAGACCCUUGGCAACUGACUGCAUUCCACUCUGACAUCACCCAGAUGUCUACCUGUCCCCGAACUAUAAGACUGUGGACCCU
rnacentral:lncRNA from 1 species